CUUCAACGACCCGAGCAGCAGCGGCCGAUCGGCGGGGCGGUCCUGGCCGUACGUGGCGAUCAGGGCCUCGGCCUC
rfam:Streptomyces hygroscopicus ATCC 53653 genomic scaffold supercont1.1, whole genome shotgun sequence.